rnacentral:rRNA from 1 species
AUGGCACCGGAGCUCACCAUGCUACCCGGCGACGUCAUCGCGGAGGUCCUCCGGCGCCUGGAGCCGCACAGCCUGGGCUCGUCCCGGCGGGUCUGCAGGGCGUGGCGCGACACCGUCGACGCCCGCCUGCGCGGCCACCUGCUCUCGCGCUCCGUACGCGGCAUCUUCAUCAACUUCCCCCGGUUUACCUUCUCGGAGUUCUUCUCCCGCCCCUCGACGGGCCCGGCGAUCUGCGGAGGGCUGGACUUCUUGCCAUGCACGAUGGGCGUCAAGGUCACGGACCACUGCAACGGGCUCCUGCUCUGCCGCGAUCAGAGCCCCGACGAUGCACGGCCGUGCGAGUACGUCGUCAACCCGGCCACGCGUCGGUGGACGCGUCUGCCCCAGCGUCCUCGGCCGCACGUGCCGGGGUCCGGCCAGACCGCCUACCUCGCUUUCGAGCCCGCCGUGUCGUCGCACUACGAGGUCUUUCUGAUCCCAUGCGUGCCAGCCGCCGACGAAUCAGACGACGACGACGAUGACAACCCGUUGCUCGAGUCAGAGUGGCCUCCCGCAUCAUACGUGAUGCAUGUUUUCUCGUCCGCGACUCAGCGGUGGGACGAGACGACCUUCCUUCGGGAAGGGGAGGCUGCAGGGAUCGUCGCCAACAUGCACACGGAUUCAGAGGACGAUCGGUAUCGUUAUCGUGCCGUCUAUUGGCAAAGCGCGCUGUACGUCCACUGCCAGCAUGGCUAUCUUACGAGAAUGUCCUUGUUAGAUCACACGUACAGUGUAAUUAAGCUACCGAAUGCCAAACAUCCCAACCGCCAUCUGGGGCGAUCAGUGAGAGGGGUGUAUUUCGCAAUAUCUUGUAGUUGGGAUGGAUUUCUUCAGCUUUGGUAUCUCAACGAAUCAUGCAGCCGAACAGAGUGGGUGCUAAAACAUGAUACCCAUCUUCAGAUAUUUGAACAUGAGGACCAACUGGGCAGGCGAUGGAUCUUACAGGAUGUUAACCAUCGUAAGUGGUUCUUUGAGCACAAUGGUAACAAAUAUGGAGAUUACAGAGCGCCGGUGGAAGAGAAAUAUGAUUGGAACUCUGACGAGGAUAACAUCAUUGACAUUGAAGACAAUGCUGGAGAGGGAUAUCACGAUGGUCUUUACUUUCUUGGAUUUCAUCCUUAUAAAGAGAUUGCCUUUUUGAUUUCAUCAGGGAGAGGAGCAAGGGGAAUGGCCUAUGAUUGGAACAACUUAAAAUUUCAGGACCUGGGCAAUGUGUGUCCAGCAGACUUCGAUCCCAGCUGCGGGCUACCACGCGGAGAGACGGACACAGCUUUCCCGUACACGCCCUGCUGGAUAGGCGAGUUUCCUGGAAACGAACUAGAAUCGCUACUUGAAGAUGAGGAGCUAUCUAUGAAAAAGUUGGAACUAGAAGAGGAAUCCAACUUUACCUGUAUGGACGAGUAUGAGUUGCGCAAGUUCUGUGGGCACGCCAAGAGGGUCAAGGACCGUACCGCCAAGAUUCGUCACAGGCGCCGUACAACGGCUCGGUAG